AACGAACGCUGGCGGCAUGCCUAACACAUGCAAGUCGAACGAGACCUUCGGGUCUAGUGGCGCACGGGUGCGUAACGCGUGGGAACCUUCCCUUAGGUUCGGAAUAACUCCCCGAAAGGGGUGCUAAUACCGGAUAAUGUCUUCGGACCAAAGAUUUAUCGCCUUUGGAUGGGCACGCGUUGGAUUAGCUAGUUGGUAGGGUAAAAGCCUACCAAGGCGACGAUCCAUAGCUGGUCUGAGAGGAUGAUCAGCCACACUGGGACUGAGACACGGCCCAGACUCCUACGGGAGGCAGCAGUGGGGAAUAUUGGACAAUGGGCGAAAGCCUGAUCCAGCAAUGCCGCGUGAGUGAUGAAGGCCUUAGGGUUGUAAAGCUCUUUUAACCGGGAUGAUAAUGACAGUACCGGGAGAAUAAGCUCCGGCUAACUCCGUG
rnacentral:rRNA from 1 species